UGUCAGAGGCAGCAGUACACCAGUGAAAUGAGAAGCACUAUCUCCCUAGCAGCACAUUUCCACUGAGUGAGAGAGAGAGAGAGAAUAAGGGACGGAGAAAUAAGGAGAAAGGUAGCGCCAUAGAACGAGGCAGGUGAAAAGAUUGACAAAGAGAGUGUGAUCAUUUGUGUACAGCUGCAACCUCAACCCCAGCUUUGUCGUAACUGUGAACCUCAGUAAAGACAGCCCAACCAUGGAUCAGAAAAUCAAUGAAUGCCCCACCACCACCUCCCCCCAGAAACAGAUGAAGAGCAGGUCCAAAUCCACCGAUGAGAUCCAGCACACCAAGAGGCUUUCAUCACAGAAAUCCCUUCCCGGUGGGCCGGACCUGGACAAAGUCAAGG